UACGGGGGGGGCAAGCGUUGUUCGGAAUUACUGGGCGUAAAGGGUCUGUAGGUGGCCAACUAAGUCAGACGUGAAAUCCCUCAGCUUAACUGGGGAACUGCGUCUGAUACUGGUUGGCUUGAGUGCAGGAGAGGAAUGCGGAAUUCCAGGUGUAGCGGUGAAAUGCGUAGAGAUCAUGAGGAAGACCAGUGGCGAAGGCGGGUCUCUGGACAGUUCCUGACACUGAGACACGAAGGCCAGGGGAGCAAACGGG
rnacentral:rRNA from 1 species